GACAGAGGGUGCAAACGUUGUUCGGAAUUACUGGGCGUAAAGCGCGCGUAGGCGGCUCGGCAAGUCGGGUGUGAAAGCCCUGGGCUUAACCCAGGAAGUGCACUCGAAACUUCCGAGCUGGAGUCCUGGAGAGGAAGGCGGAAUUCUCGGUGUAGAGGUGAAAUUCGUAGAUAUCGAGAGGAACACCGGUGGCGAAGGCGGCCUUCUGGACAGUGACUGACGCUGAGACGCGAAAGCGUGGGGAGCAAACAGG
rnacentral:rRNA from 1 species